GGGUUGUGAGGUUAAGCGACUAAGCGUACACGGUGGAUGCCCUGGCAGUCAGAGGCGAUGAAGGACGUGCUAAUCUGCGAUAAGCGUCGGUAAGGUGAUAUGAACCGUUAUAACCGGCGAUUUCCGAAUG
rnacentral:rRNA from 1 species